AUGACAGAAAUUCAAGGGAUGUUGGGAAGUGAAAUAUCUACAAGACUCACCAAGUAUAUUGAUCUUGAGGUGAGGACUCACCCCUCACUGGGAGAAAUAGUUAGGAAAGCAAUAUGUAAAAACAAAGUCAUGAAUCUGACAAGAAAUGUACUUAAGAAACUGAACAAGGGACCCAGAAUACAGAAGUGAAAAAGCUUCUUUAGACAGCAGUAAGUUAUAAAAGAGAAAAGACCAUGUGAGGACACAGUAAGAAGGAGGCCAUAUGCAAAGCAGAAAGGAAGACCUCACCAGAACCAAAAACCAACCCUGCUGGCACCCUCAUCUUGGACUUCUAGCCUUUCUCAGAACUGUGAGAAAAUAAAUUUCUGGUGUUUCAGUCACUCAGCCUGUGGUCAUUUGUUAUGCAACCCUAGCAGACAAACAGGGACCUAACUUAAGAACUGGUUAAAAAUGAGGCCAGUUAAGAAUUUGAUAUGCUAUGGCUGGGAAGGUUUGAUUUAUUCUAAAUGCAAUGGAAUGGAGCUGGGGAUAUAAAUUUGGGAUUUAUUGGCAGGUGAAAUAUAUUUUAAAAUACACUAAAAUUAAAUUUCCUCAGGACAGAAUGUAGAUAGAAAAGAAUCAAGAUUUUAUGACAAAAAUCCAAGUCACUCCAAUGUUAGAGUUCUCCCAAACAUUUAAAGAAGGCUUACGCUGAUUCUAUACAGCAUCUUCCAAAAAUUAUAAAUUCUUUACAGCAUCUUUCCAACUUAUUUUAU
rnacentral:lncRNA from 1 species